GACAGAGGGUGCAAACGUUGUUCGGAUUUACUGGGCGUAAAGCGCGUGUAGGCGGCUUUGCAAGUCGGAUGUGAAAGCCCACGGCUCAACCGUGGAAGUGCAUCCGAAACGGCAUGGCUCGAGUCUCGGAGAGGAAGGUGGAAUGCUUGGUGUAGAGGUGAAAUUCGUAGAUAUCAAGCAGAACACCUGCGGCGAAGGCGGCCUUCUGGACGAUGACUGACGCUGAGACGCGAAAGCGUGGGGAGCAAACAGG
rnacentral:rRNA from 1 species